GAGUUUGAUCAUGGCUCAGGAUGAACGCUAGCGGCAGGCCUAACACAUGCAAGUCGAACGGUAACAUGAGAGCUUGCUCUUGAUGACGAGUGGCGCACGGGUGCGUAACGCGUAUGCAACCUACCUUUAACUGGAGGAUAGCCUUUAGAAAUGAAGAAUAAUACUCCAUAAUAUUUACUUACGGCAUCGUAAGUAUCUUAAAGCUUUGGCGGUUAAAGAUGGGCAUGCGUUCUAUUAGUUAGUUGGUGAGGUAAUGGCUCACCAAGACUUCGAUAGAUAGGGGGCCUGAGAGGGUUGUCCCCCACACUGGUACUGAGACACGGACCAGACUCCUACGGGAGGCAGCAGUGAGGAAUAUUGCACAAUGGACGAAAGUCUGAUGCAGCCAUGCCGCGUGCAGGAUGAAUGCCCUAUGGGUUGUAAACUGCUUUUAUAUAGGAAGAACAUUUUCUACGUGUAGAGAACUGACGGUACUAUAAGAAUAAGGACCGGCUAACUCCGUGCCAGCAGCCGCGGUAAUACGGAGGGUCCAAGCGUUAUCCGGAUUCAUUGGGUUUAAAGGGUCCGCAGGCGGGAAAAUAAGUCAGUGGUGAAAGCCUACAGCUCAACUGUAGAACUGCCAUUGAAACUGUUUUUCUUGAGUAUAGAUGAAGUGGGCGGAAUAUAUCAUGUAGCGGUGAAAUGCAUAGAUAUGAUAUAGAACACCGAUUGCGAAGGCAGCUCACUAAACUAUUACUGACGCUCAGGGACGAAAGCGUGGGGAGCGAACAGGAUUAGAUACCCUGGUAGUCCACGCCGUAAACGAUGAUUACUCGGUGCUAGCGAUAUAACGUUAGUGCCCAAGCGAAAGUGAUAAGUAAUCCACCUGGGGGAGUACGGUCGCAAGAUUGAAACUCAAAGGAAUUGACGGGGG
rnacentral:rRNA from 1 species